rnacentral:rRNA from 1 species
CAAUAUAAGUGAUGGCGACCGGCGCACGGGUGAGUAACACGUAUCCAACCUGCCGAUAACUCGGGGAUAGCCUUUCGAAAGAAAGAUUAAUACCCGAUGGUAUAAUAAAACCGCAUGGUUUAAUUAUUAAAGAAUUUCGGUUAUCGAUGGGGAUGCGUUCCAUUAGGCAGUUGGUGGGGUAACGGCUCACCAAACCUUCGAUGGAUAGGGGUUCUGAGAGGAAGGUCCCCCACAUUGGAACUGAGACACGGUCCAA